GAUCAUGGCUCAGGAUGAACGCUGGCGGCGUGCCUAACACAUGCAAGUCGAGCGAAGCGGUUUUAAGGAAGUUUUCGGAUGGAAUUAAAACUGACUGAGCGGCGGACGGGUGAGUAACGCGUGGGUAACCUGCCUCAUACAGGGGGAUAACAGUUAGAAAUGGCUGCUAAUACCGCAUAAGCACACAGCUUCGCAUGGAGCAGUGUGAAAAACUCCGGUGGUAUGAGAUGGACCCGCG
rnacentral:rRNA from 1 species